CCUACGGGGCGCAGCAGUGGGGAAUAUUGCUCAAUGGGGGAAACCCUGAAGCAGCAACGCCGCGUGAAGGAAGAAGGCUUUCGGGUUGUAAACUUCUUUUCUCAGGGACGAAGAAAGUGACGGUACCUGAGGAAUAAGCCACGGCUAACUACGUGCCAGCAGCCGCGGUAAUACGUAGGUGGCAAGCGUUAUCCGGAUUUACUGGGUGUAAAGGGCGUGUAGGCGGGACUGCAAGUCAGAUGUGAAAACCACGGGCUCAACCUGUGGCCUGCAUUUGAAACUGUAGUUCUUGAGUACUGGAGAGG
rnacentral:rRNA from 1 species